GACAGAGGAUGCAAGCGUUAUCCGGAAUGAUUGGGCGUAAAGCGUCUGUAGGUGGCUUUUUAAGUCCGCCGUCAAAUCCCAGGGCUCAACUCUGGACAAGCGGUGGAAACUACCAAGCUUGAGUACGGUAGGGGCAAAGGGAAUUUCCGAUGGAGCGGUGAAAUGCGUAAAGAUCGGAAAGAACACCAACGGCGAAAGCUCUGUGCUGGGCCGACACUGAGAGACGAAAGCUAGGGGAGCACAUAGG
rnacentral:rRNA from 1 species